rnacentral:rRNA from 1 species
AUGCUCUCUUCGCUGACAAUUUUUGCCGGCAGUUUCCGCGCCGAAGAGUUCCGUUGGAGUCUACACAUGAAUGGUAAAUUCACGGUAGACUCUAUGUAUAGUGCUCUAAUCUAGUCAGAGGUGCCAGCUGAUAAUAAUAAGAUUUGGAAGAUGGAGAUACCUCUUACGAAUAAAAUCUUUGCGUGGUAUCUUCGUUGUGGAGUCAUUCUUACCAAAGAUAACCUUAUUAAGAGGAAUUGGCAUGGAAGUACGCAAUGUGUAUUUUGUCAUCAUGAUGAAACAAUAAAACACUUAUUUUUUAAUGCAAAUUGGCUCAUUCUAUAUGGUCAGUCAUUCAAAUAG